CAUGCAAGUCGAGCGGUAACAUUUCUAGCUUGCUAGAAGAUGACGAGCGGCGGACGGGUGAGUAAUGCUUGGGAACAUGCCUUGAGGUGGGGGACAACAGUUGGAAACGACUGCUAAUACCGCAUAAUGUCUACGGACCAAAGGGGGCUUCGGCUCUCGCCUUUAGAUUGGCCCAAGUGGGAUUAGCUAGUUGGUGAGGUAAUGGCUCACCAAGGCGACGAUCCCUAGCUGGUUUGAGAGGAUGAUCAGCCACACUGGGACUGAGACACGGCCCAGACUCCUACGGGAGGCAGCAGUGGGGAAUAUUGCACAAUGGGCGCAAGCCUGAUGCAGCCAUGCCGCGUGUGUGAAGAAGGCCUUCGGGUUGUAAAGCACUUUCAGUCAGGAGGAAAGGUUAGUAGUUAAUACCUGCUAGCUGUGACGUUACUGACAGAAGAAGCACCGGCUAACUCCGUGCCAGCAGCCGCGGUAAUACGGAGGGUGCGAGCGUUAAUCGGAAUUACUGGGCGUAAAGCGUACGCAGGCGGUUUGUUAAGCGAGAUGUGAAAGCCCCGGGCUCAACCUGGGAACUGCAUUUCGAACUGGCAAACUAGAGUGUGAUAGAGGGUGGUAGAAUUUCAGGUGUAGCGGUGAAAUGCGUAGAGAUCUGAAGGAAUACCGAUGGCGAAGGCAGCCACCUGGGUCAACACUGACG
rnacentral:rRNA from 1 species